GCCUUCUCUGUGGAUUCAAUCUAACUCACUACUUUUUAUAUAUUUUUAAUAUUUUUAAAAAUUAAAAUUAAUUUGAUAAUCACAGUAUCUUAAUGGCAAUAUCGUGAGAUAUCACUGCUGCAGGUCGUGCACCAUAUCUGUCAGCAUUUGGACCUACUACAAAAGUGGCUGAAGUUAUUUGAUGGUGAUAGCUAGGCUGACAAAUGCCCCC
rnacentral:lncRNA from 1 species